GUUACUGUCCCUGUUGUUGUGGGCCAUGUGGCCCGUUACCUCUCCAUUUCCAACUUCAGCUGCUUUACCCCCACCCAUUUCUCUCCAUUUUUCUUUUCUUUUUUUUUUCACCCAUCUUUUUAAAGUGUAAAUAAAAUUUUAAUGUUUUUGUUGAUGAAAAAUACGUUGGAGUUUGACAAUUAUGAAAUGUUUUAUUAUGACGUAAUAAUAGUCAUAUUUUCUUCACAAAACCCUCGACCUUGUUUAUUUGAUAUCGUCAAUACUGUGGUAGAUACAAACUUCGGAGUUAUAGAGAUCGUCUUGUUCAUUAAGUUCGAUACAGGAUCGAUAUAUUUCACCGCUGACCACUACGAAGCCGGAAUUUCGAUGAACCGGAACCGUCAGUUGUACCGUGCUCUAACUAUGGCGGAGGGUAGUAAACAGAAAUUACCAAAUCUGAAGAUUUGUAUCGACAACAACGAAGGCAGCGACAACGAAGAGAUUAUAUUCACUGAUAAGGAUGAUUACUCGUUUAUCGAUGAACCUUAUUCACACAGGGUCGAAUUCAGUGUUCGUCUCAAUGAAAAUAACGAAGCAAAGAAAUUUGAGAGAAAGAAGUAUGAAAAUAAAGAUGGGAAUUUUGUAACAGGCAUCGACAUCACAAAAAAGGAAGAAGAAGAGAAAAGAGAAGAACGAGCUCGUCGUUUUGGUCUGGAAGGCAACAACUAUCAUGUCAGUUUGGCCGCUCUUUAUGCUAGCCUUGGCAUCCGAGAGGAAGACCUGCACAAGGACGAGCGAGGCAUUCGUCUCGAGACAGUCCAUGUCCGUGGUGUGCAGGACAUGAGUACAAAAGAUGUCUUUCACUAUUUUCAAGAGUUUGCUCCCUCGACUGUCGAAUGGAUUGAAGACAGUUCCUGCAAUGUUGUUUGGUCCGAUGCCAUGACAGCUGCUAGAGCCUUGAACAAAUUAAGCCGAAGCCGCGAUGUUGUUAAUUCUUGGACCAACACAAACGAGAAUUCUGCUGCCAAAAGUCCAACUGCCGAUGAAGAGAAUCAGCUGAAGCCUGACACACAAUUUGACCAAAAGGAAAUCAGUGAAACCAGUGAGAAAGAAAGUAACGCUACCAAAAUGAAUGUGGACGAGGACAGCAAUAUGUCAGCGAUUUCUUCAGUGUCUCACAGUGAAAGUACUUGCGAAAACGACAGCGACAGACAGAUGGAAAGCAAAAGGAGACCAAGUGAUAGCAAAGACAGUGAGGAUGCAGAAACACGAGAAACAACACCUCAACCGAUCGAUGCGAAGAGCGAAGGGGAACUGUCCAGCUCUGAAGACAAUGUCGAAUUGGAGAAAAACUACAGAAGGAAGUUGUCAUCACGUUUGCUAGAAAAUGUGCCAGCAGCAGUUGAUCCAUGGAAUAGUGCAGAUGACAUUCCUUGGCCACCUGGCAAGUGGCGUCUUGGGGUUCCAACCAGUAAAACCAGCCAACAUAUAUUUAUGAGAUAUGCCACAAAAGCAGUUGUUGUUGCAGCUGACCGAAAAUUGCCUGGAGCUGAGAAAAGGAGUCAGUAUUAUGUAAGACACGGCAACCCCAACUAUGGAGGUAUGAAAGGCCUCAUUAGCAAAUCCCGCAAACGGCGAAUCCGCUCAGUGAAGGACGAGAUUCCCAAUGAAAACAUAAAAGAUAAUCUGAAUAAUCUAACGGCAUCCGAUCGAGUAGAAUUGUCUGAUUGGUCGAGCAGACACCUUCAUGAUGACUUAGCAUCUUCUGUACAGGCAGCAGCGGCAGCGGCAACAACAACAGCAGCAGCACCACCACCAGCAAAACAUCGUAUGAUGAGAAUGUAUGCAGAUGAUGUUGAAGCCGAGUUAAAGGCGAAAAGGUCUGGUCAUUCUAGAGUGUCACAUAGGAUUGGUAGUGGCUCGUUAUCGCACAGGAUCGGCAGUGGUGGUCAUGGCAUACAGAACUGGGUAGGCAGUUUGUCAGGCAGCAGCAGCAGUAAACCGGUGAAAGAUGCUCGACAGCUUUUAUCCAGAUCCGACAAUGUUGGCAUGAAAAUGAAACUUUUCAGCAUUUACAAGAAAUCCUUGUGAAGAGUUUAGUCAGGUAAACGAGUUGUCCAACACAGGUGUGAAUGGAAUGAAAUAUUUAGUUGUCACAACAUUAUAUCUGUGGUUCCCUCUGCUUCUUCUUCACUAUUAAGGACUCCUACCCUACAGACCCCAAGUCAGUAAUCGUUUGUUUAUCUUUGGAUUGAACCUGGUUCUGGGAGACUGUUGGAAACGAGAGCUGCAAAGUAUUAAGAAGGAAUCAGGAACAUCUGAAGACAUGUGGAUAUUGUGUUUUGUUGAAUAAAGGCUGAACAAACUCUGAA
rnacentral:misc_RNA from 1 species